UUGCAUUCCAAGAAAUAUUUUGUUUUAAAGGAAUCAUAUUAUUGACAUUCAAUUACAUAAUUACAUAAUUGUACGACAUGUUUCGUACCACGUGAGCUUAGAUCGACUAGUUCCGUUUUAAUCGACAAGUUUGCCUUCGCGCUUCGAGGCUGCAGUUUGUUAACUUCGUGCCGUCAUUGUAUUUUAUCUAUGAAUAAAGAAUUCAACGUGUAAUUGUUCAAGGCCUCUAUUAAUUGAUCUGUAUAAACAAAAUGCUCAUCGAAGAUUAAUGAUCUCUUGUUUUUCGAAACGUGAAAUUUUUAAGUGUAUUGAAAAAUUUAUUAUGUGUACAUUCAAAAUAUAUUUAUAAAUAUAGUAUUUUAUUUUAUUAAUUAAAACGAUUAUAUUUGUUGAUACAUAAAUUUUACUAUUGUGUAUUUUACUGUACAUGUCAGGACUAGUCAGGAUUAAUCGUACGAACUUUUUAUCACGGAAGAAACAUUAUGAAAAAUAAAUUGUAUUUGAGUUCCUGUUUCCACGCAUCGUAUCACUAGAUCAACUCUCGCGUUAAAUAAAAUAUAGCGACAUAUUUUUACGUUUAAAUUGGAAACAAUAUAUAAAUGUCUCUCGUCGUUUCAGAGAAUAUCUUUUUUAAAAAUUUUAAGAGAAAGAUAUUUCAUUCUAAUAUUUUCACUUUAUUGCAGAAUAUUGCAGAAUUUCCAGUUGAACAAUAUUUAAUGUUUAAUCAUUAUAAUAUUAUGUACAUAUACGUAAGAGAAAUAUCAUGCAGUUGAUAUUCGAUAAAUAUAGAAGGAAAAAGAUAAAAAUGAACGAAAGAGAUGAUAAUAUUCUUCGGAAGAAUAACAAGAGGAACUCCAUUGAAAACUACCAGAAUUAAUUCAAUGCGAGUGAUGAAUCAAAGGGCGAAUGAAAACCAGGAAAAUCUCGAGGACCAUGGAAGACGUCAUUAAUUUCUUCGGACGAAAGAUGCAAGAUGCACAAAUCUCGUUUGGAUGAAGCAUCUUUUUCAUUUGAUGAAACGCUGAGUUUGUUCUAUCACCACUCGAGGAUAAAGUAGUUCCGAAUUAUAUAGGCUAGAUAUUAUUCGUCCUCGUCUCCGUGGCUAUAAGUUUCUCGGACUCUAUUUCAUCACGGGACUGGCUUAAAUUGCACUCGCGCGUCAUCCAUGCGAUUUUUGAAAAGUUCCUUCGUCCGGCGGUUGUGUAAUUAAAAUAGACCGUAUCUCGAACAAAGCGGAAUUUUUAACGAGUUAUUUUUACGAGAUAACUCCGACUUCUCCGUUUUUCAAUGUAGUGGCGAACUUCCCUUUAAUGCAUUAUUCCAUGAUUCGAACGUAUGAAUUACGGUGAAAGCGGAGAUUCGAAAUACACCACUGUCUUAAUUAACUAACUACAAAGAAACGAUCGUAUAUGGUAAUGAUUGAGUAUAUAAAGCUUACACGUAAUGGAUUGGAUUCAUAACGAAGC